rnacentral:rRNA from 1 species
GACGAACGCUGGCGGCGUGCUUAACACAUGCAAGUCGAACGCUGAAGCUCAGCUUUUGUUGGGUGGAUGAGUGGCGAACGGGUGAGUAACACGUGAGUAACCUGCCUCCUUCUUUGGGAUAACGCCCGGAAACGGGUGCUAAUACUGGAUAUUCACUGGUCUUCGCAUGGGGGUUGGUGGAAAGGGUUUUUCUGGUGGGGGAUGGGCUCGCGACCUAUCAGCUUGUUGGUGGGGUGAUGGCCUACCAAGGCUUUGACGGGUAGCCGGCCUGAGAGGGUGACCGGUCACAUUGGGACUGAGAUACGGCCCAGACUCCUACGGGAGGCAGCAGUGGGGAAUAUUGCACAAUGGGCGCAAGCCUGAUGCAGCGACGCCGCGUGAGGGAUGGAGGCCUUCGGGUUGUGAACCUCUUUCGCUCAUGGUCAAGCCGCAACAAUGGUUGUGGUGAGGGUAGUGGGUAAAGAAGCGCCGGCUAACUACGUG